AACCAGCACCUCAAGUGGUCAGGAUGAUUAUUGGGCCUAAAGCAUCCGUAGCCGGUUCUAUAAGUUUCCGGUUAAAUCCGUAUGCUCAACGUAUGGGCCGCCGGGAAUACUGUAGACCUAGGGAGUGGGAGAGGUAGACGGUACUCGGUAGGAAGGGGUAAAAUCCUUUGAUCUAUCGAUGACCACCUGUGGCGAAGGCGGUCUACCAGAACACGUCCGACGGUGAGGGAUGAAAGCUGGGGGAGCAAACCGG
rnacentral:rRNA from 1 species